rnacentral:rRNA from 1 species
GCUCAGGAUGAACGCUAGCUACAGGCUUAACACAUGCAAGUCGAGGGGUAGCAGGGUAGCAAUACCGCUGACGACCGGCGCACGGGUGAGUAACACGUAUCCAACCUUCCCAUAACUCGGGGAUAGCCUUUCGAAAGAAAGAUUAAUACCCGAUAGUACUUUAUUAAGGCAUCUUAAGAAAGUUAAAGAUUUAUUGGUUAUGGAUGGGGAUGCGUUCCAUUAGAUAGUUGGUGAGGUAACGGCUCACCAAGUCUUCGAUGGAUAGGGGUUCUGAGAGGAAGGUCCCCCACAUUGGUACUGAGACACGGACCAAACUCCUACGGGAGGCAGCAGUGAGGAAUAUUG